UCCAGGCUGGCCUGCUGGAGGAUGAGAGACCACGGGAGUUCAUCUGCCUAGAUUGCCUUACAUCAGCUGCUCCCCAGGUUUCCCAGUUUGAAUCAGAUGCAAAACGCUAAGACAGGAUUCAUGUUAACUCGACCGAGGACAUGCGAGAAGAGGGACAGAUCGAACUCCUCUGUGGGUCCCCAGUGCCCAGCAUGAGCUCUGGG